rnacentral:rRNA from 1 species
CCUACGGGUGGCAGCAGUCGAGAAUUUUCACAAUGGGGGAAACCCUGAUGGAGCGACGCCGCGUGGAGGAUGAAGGUUUUCGGAUUGUAAACUCCUGUCAUUAGAGAACAAGGCGUACGGCGUAACUGCCCGUACGUUGAUAGUAUCUGAAGAGGAAGAGACGGCUAACUCUGUGCCAGCAGCCGCGGUAAUACAGAGGUCUCAAGCGUUGUUCGGAUUCAUUGGGCGUAAAGGGUGCGUAGGUGGCGUUGUAAGUCAGAUGUGAAAUCUCCGAGCUUAACUCGGAAACUGCAUUUGAUACUGCAUCGCUUGAGGAUUGUAGAGGGCAUUGGAAUUCACGGUGUAGCAGUGAAAUGCGUAGAUAUCGUGAGGAAGACCAGUGGCGAAGGCGAAUGCCUGGGCAAUUCCUGACACUGAGGCACGAAGGCCAGGGGAGCAAACGGGAUUAGAUACCCCGGUAGUCCUGGCAGUAAACGGUGCACGUUUGGUGUGGGAGGAUUCGACCCCUUCCGUGCCGGAGCUAACGCGUUAAACGUGCCCGCCUGGGGAGUACGGUCGCAAGA